AGCAAGAAUAGACUGACAACUUAUGAAUAUCCAUAACCCAUAUUUAUGCAGUGAUUGAACAACAACAGCAUUUCCACACCCCACCUCUAAAGGCAUAGAAUUACGGAAGUUCACCUGUCACGUCAGUCAGAAAUUGCUACAGAUUUGCUGAAUAUUGCUUGAGCAUAUGGCACUUCCCAAAGCAUGGUGAAACACACAGAGCUGUGUCAUAAGCUAACCACAUGUACUUUGUAAACCUCCUCUGCUUCCUUUUCCUGGUGUCCGUCAGGCAGACUUUGCAGUGCCUCUGUGUGCGACUGCCUUCACCAGCAGUUUGAGGGACUUCGCAGGGAAAAGGCCGUGCAGUGAGGCGUAGGGGAUUGUCUGCAGCAGGACGACACCCCUCUCAUUAGGUUUUUGCUGUACUUUUGGCAGGUCAUUAAUUUACCUAUGGGGGAGAGGGAGUGGGGAGGAUGAGGGAUUGGAGAGGAUAAUGAGGCAGUGGGUAGGUGGGUGGUCCAGCUUCCCUGUGGCCGACAUGGUUGCUGUAUGGACAGUGGAGAGGACACAGACGUCUCGCUUUUCAUGCCACUUUACUGUCAGCUGUUGGCCGUUCUAUUUGAACCUUCCCUCUCUGCAUCUUCCUGCCUCCGAAUGCUAACAUCCCCUUCCUGUUCGACCUGACUGUGACACAAGCCCUGUGCUGUUGGAGAGGAGAUACUGGAAGAGUGUGGGACUGCUGUACAAACUGCCCACGUACAAAGUGUGUCCCGUGCCGAGAUGAGGAGCCAGCAUGGUCAUCACCAUGGACCCGGACACUCCAAGCCCCUCAUAAUGUUGGAUGUCAGUGGUGGACCCUGUGUAAAUCAUAAUGUAAUGGACAAAUCCUGUCAUGUCGCACGUAACAAAGAACUUGACCCCAAACCUGUGGGUUUUGGAGGGAAUAUCUUGCCAGCCUACCCUUCCAUAACAUCAGGGACUCAUCAAUGCAUACGUCCUUGUAUGGCACAAAGACCCAACCAAAUGCUCAUGUCAGGCUGGUUCAAGGUAUAGUGAUUGGUCUCCUCCUCUAUGUCUCCCACCAGCUCCUCUGUCAGAAAUAGCUUGAAGCACACUGCCUCAGAGAGAAAUGGCAAGUGGCUUUGUACUCCAGACUGGGACUCAUCAACGCAAACAGCAGGGCCAGGAGGGGUGAAAUGGCUGGCGGCCUUCCAGCUACCACAGAACUCCUGUACUUCAUCCACUGUCGGUCUGCAUCCAUCACCACCAGCAUCUUCAAAGGGACUUGGAUCUUCGUCAGUGGACAAGUGGUCCUCAGAUUUAGGGUUCUCAAUGGCUACAAGGUUGGGGUGCUCACUGUCAUUGUCAGAAUCUGAUUCCUUACUUUCAUUCUCAGACUCACUGUCAUAAUUUAUAAUCAUCUCCAGAAUUACUGCAUUUGUGAGUUGUCUCCUUUUGAAAGUCAUUGCUAAUGCUCUAGCUUAGCACACUAGCUAGAUACAUAAACAACAACACUGAAUGGCUCAGGGUGGGUGUCAGAGGUUAUGUGAUUGACUGCUGGCACGCACCACUUGUAUCAAUAAGUCACUAUCAGAAAAUGUUUUGUAUGGUAAUUAUUUACUGUUUUAUUCACGUUUAAGUACUGGUGACAAAUCAUGAAUUCCGAUUCUUGCAUAGAUUGUAAUGGACACAUACGUAUGACGUGUUAAAAUUAUUUUUUGAAGGUUGUACUGAUUAUGAUGAGCUAAGCUAAUUCUAGCUAUGUGUGGAGCCAUGUCUGUUGACAUACAAUGCAUUCUGGGUUUCACAUAAAUGUCUGUCAGACCAAAGAUGUUAUAACAAAAUGAAGUGAGGGAGGGUUCACUCAUAUUUCAAGUAAACUUCCGGAAGUGAAUGAUGGGAUGUGAAUAAUGGAAGACGACACAGCCCCUUCAACAUGCAUUCUGCAAACAGACCAAACUCAUCUUGUCGCAUCUUAUUAUCUUUGGUUAAAGCGAAAAAACAAACUUGGCGGCGCAUACUAACUACCCAUCGUCGGAUUACUUUUGAUUUCUAGAAAGUGUUUUACUCAAUUAUUUCAAUCAAUGUUGAGCUCACCCGUGAUGAGACGAAUUAUACAUAUAAUUGCUAUUAGCUAAUUCACAUUGUGGUUUCUUUCAGCCGAGAGUUAUCUAAAUACAAUCGCUUGUGUUAUGUCACAAGCUUGUGUUAUUUCCUCAGUUCCCGAUAGGACUAAUGAACCUACAUUUUCCGGUUUGGAUGAUUGUGUAUGCUGUAGCUACUUCUGUGAAGGUCUGAACAUUGGAUCCAAAAAUAAAUCUUGUCACAUUCAGGACAUAACUUUUGUGAGGACUUUUUCUGUGAAAAAACAGUGUGGCCAGCUCAAAUGCUGACUAUUGUGUCAAUCGAAACUGGCAGUUCUAUAUACGCGUUCUUGUCACACCGGUUGAUCGUAAGCUGCAGGGACCACUGUAGAAUGAUCACACC